rnacentral:rRNA from 1 species
UACAGAGGGGGCAAGCGUUGCUCGGAAUUACUGGGCGUAAAGAGCUCGUAGGCGGUCUGUCGCGUCGGCUGUGAAAACUCGGGGCUCAACCCCGAGCCUGCAGUCGAUACGGGCAGACUAGAGUCCGGCAGGGGAGACUGGAAUUCCUGGUGUAGCGGUGAAAUGCGCAGAUAUCAGGAGGAACACCGGUGGCGAAGGCGGGUCUCUGGGCCGGAACUGACGCUGAGGAGCGAAAGCGUGGGGAGCGAACAGG